rnacentral:rRNA from 1 species
CUAGGAAACUGGGGCUAAUACCGGAUAGGAGCUCCUGCUGCAUGGUGGGGGUUGGAAAGUUUCGGCGGUUGGGGAUGGACUCGCGGCUUAUCAGCUUGUUGGUGGGGUAGUGGCUUACCAAGGCUUUGACGGGUAGCCGGCCUGAGAGGGUGACCGGCCACAUUGGGACUGAGAUACGGCCCAG